UCGAAAUAAUUAAUUGGUUUUCUUUAAUUCGCAAAUAAUAUGAGGCUUCUUGUUCUACUUUGUUUCAUCAUGUUGAUGUCAAGCAACUUAACAAAUGUCACAUCUCAAGUGAAUGGGGUUUCAUGGUCCCUGGAGAUCUCGAGUAAUCCGGGGAAUGGGAUCUUGAGCAAUCCGGGGAAUGAAGGUGGACAGGGACAAGGGACUCGACGGGUUCAUGAGGCACCGUCACCGGCGCCCCUACCUCCGUCCGACAUUUGAACACUUUACUUCGUCAUCUAAAUCUCUAUCUAGAAUAACAAUUACACUUGCUUGUAAAUGAUCUGUUUGUUCAAGCCAUAUAUGAGGCUACUUUUGGUGUUGUAAUUAAUUAUGUUGGUUCCAAAAAUAAAAAAGAUAUGUAGAUUCCACUA